GACAGAGGGUGCAAACGUUGUUCGGAAUUACUGGGCGUAAAGCGCGUGUAGGCUGCUUCGCAAGUCGGAUGUGAAAGCCCUGGGCUCAACCCAGGAAGUGCAUUCGAAACUGCAGAGCUGGAGUCCUGGAGAGGAAGGCGGAAUUCCCAGUGUAGCGGUGAAAUGCGUAGAUAUUGGGAGGAACACCAGUGGCGAAGGCGGUCCCCUGGGCCGGAACUGACGCUGAGGCGCGAAAGCGUGGGUAGCAAACGGG
rnacentral:rRNA from 1 species